rnacentral:rRNA from 1 species
GAAUUUUAUAAUUUAUGUAUAAUAAAAUAAUAUUGUAAAUUAUUUAAUUGGGAGGAUUAAUAAAUUUGAGUAACUUUAUAAGGAUUAUGACAUUAAUAUAUGAAAUAGUAAAUUGAUUAGUAGAUAUAUAAUGAAGAAUUAAUUACCUUAGGGAUAACAGCAUAAGAUUUUUUUUUAGAUCAUAUAAAAAAUAAUUAUUGU